rfam:Salmo salar isolate Sally breed double haploid chromosome ssa18, whole genome shotgun sequence.
UGCAUUCACUACUGUAAGUCGCUCUGGAUAAGAGCAUUUGCUAAAUGACAAAAA